CCCAGUGCAUGGGUCUCAUUUCUGGUCCACAUAUCUGAUCCCACUUCAAAUCUGACAGAGUCACUGACAGAAGAACUGUUCAGUCAGACAGAAGAACUGAUUUAUAGACA